CCUACGGGUUGCAGCAGUGGGGAAUAUUGCACAAUGGGCGCAAGCCUGAUGCAGCCAUGCCGCGUGUGUGAAGAAGGCCUUCGGGUUGUAAAGCACUUUCAGCGGGGAGGAAGGCGUUAAGGUUAAUAACCUUAGCGAUUGACGUUACCCGCAGAAGAAGCACCGGCUAACUCCGUGCCAGCAGCCGCGGUAAUACGGAGGGUGCAAGCGUUAAUCGGAAUUACUGGGCGUAAAGCGCACGCAGGCGGUCUGUCAAGUCGGAUGUGAAAUCCCCGGGCUCAACCUGGGAACUGCAUUCGAAACUGGCAGGCUAGAGUCUUGUAGAGGGGGGUAGAAUUCCAGGUGUAGCGGUGAAAUG
rnacentral:rRNA from 1 species